GUGAGGGCGGGAGGGCGGGGCCUGUGAGCGGCCCAGAGCGGCCCGGCGGCGGCGGCGGCAUCAUGCAGCGGGAGGUGGGCAGCCUCCCGCUGGCCCCCGCUCUGCGGGCUAAGCUCGUCGCCGCCGGUUUCCAGACGGCGCAGGAACUGCUGGAGACCGGCCCCUGCGGGCUCAGCAAAGAACUUGGAAUCUCCAAAGAAGAGGCACUGGAAGCAUUACAGGUUGUGAGGCAGGAAUGUCCCGGGGAUGUAGCAAGGACUGCUGGGGGAUCAGGCAUCACCAGAAAGUGCACGGCACUGGAACUUCUGGAAGAAGAGCAAGCCCAGGGCUCUAUCAUCACCUUUUGUUCAGCGCUAGACAGUAUUCUGGGAGGUGGUGUGCAAUUAACAAAAAUCACCGAGAUCUGUGGAGCGCCUGGUGUUGGGAAAACACAGCUAUGUAUGCAGUUGGCAGUAGACGUACAGAUCCCAGAAUGCUUUGGGGGCGUAGCUGGAGAAGCCGUGUUCAUCGAUACUGAAGGAAGUUUUAUGGUAGACAGAGUAGUGGAUAUUGCAACUGCCUGUGUGCAGCAUUGCCAGCUUAUUGCUGAAGCUCAUCAAGAGGAAGAUCAUCUAAAAGCUUUGGAGACUUUCUCUCUUGAAAGUAUCCUUUCUCACAUAUAUUACUUCCGUUGCCGUGACUACAUAGAGCUUCUUGCACAGGUCUACCUCCUCCCAGACUUUCUUUCAGAGCAUUCAAAGGUCCGACUGGUGGUAGUUGAUGGCAUUGCAUUUCCUUUUCGCCAUGACUUUGAGGACCUCUCACUUCGAACAAGGCUUUUGAAUGGUCUGGCACAACAGCUGAUCAUCAUAGCACAUGAUCAUAAAUCAGCGGUAGUUCUGACAAACCAAAUGACAACAAGGAUUGGACAAAACCAGUCCACAUUGGUACCUGCUUUAGGAGAAAGCUGGGGACAUGCUGCUACUGUCCGUUUAAUCUUUCACUGGGACAACAGUCAGAGGUUGGCGACGUUGUACAAAUCACCAAGUCAGAAGGAGUCAACCAUACCAUAUCACAUUACAUCUCAUGGCUUCCGAGAUGUGCAGCCUCCAGCUGUCACUCAAAAUGCAGAAGAUACUGAAAUGAACCCUCGCAAACGGCCACGGAGAGAAGAGGAAAAGUAAUAGCGAUUCAAAAGUUGAAUGUUAAAAAAUUUGUGCUACGUGGGAACAGUUGCAUAGUGAACGUGCAACCAAAGCUAUUACAAAAAUCAGCUCUGCAGACCAGAACUAGAGAGAAGGAUCUGUUGGCGGAGACAAAAUUAGAUUAAAUGAGCCAGAUUUCGUUCUCAUCUGCUGGAGACAAGGAAGCUGUUCCAGGCUUAGAAUUGCAUAUAAAGAAAGAACUUGACCGUUGCCUCGCCAAUAAAUCUUCCAUGGCAAGUUGAUAUUUUCUUACAUGUGCCUGGAAUUCUCUUGCAUUUCACAGCAUCAGUGCACAACAGUGAGUGGCAUGAGAAUUUUGUGACUGCACAGAAAGUAAGAUUCUAACUAGCCAACAUCGCAGCACUGAAUCAAAAACAGAACGGGUUGUUUGAUUUGCUGCUUACGUCCCAGUUUUCUGAAAGCCAAGAGCUUUAACUAUCAUGCUGAUUUUAGAAUUAUUCCAUUUUGUAGGGACGACAUUUACUUGUGGUGUAGGAACCUACUUCGUCACCACAACAAGAAUACAGUGUCUACCACAGGGCUUGGCAACAGGAAAACAUUGUGGUCACAGCAUACUUCUUCUCAAGCCCAGAAUCCUGCUUUGAAACUCUUUAGUUUGGACAGGGAAAAUAACAAUUUAUUUCUUCCUGAUUUUAUGUGUUCUGCACCUUUUCCAUUAUGAAACACUGAGAAACCAACUAGCUUCCAACUAGAAUAAAUUUAAGAAAACACAAAGAAGAAACAGCUUAACUGAAGAGAUAUUUCUAAGUAGGUGACUGUAAAAUUCAAGGUCUUGUGACUGGAGCAGGAUAUCACAGAAUCAGGAAUCUAAUCUACAGUGAGAUGAUGAACAAGUCAUUUAAAUGUCCUUUGCAAUUAGACAAAUGAUGAAAAGCACAUGGGGACUGCCAAGAUGAAUCAAGGACAUCUGGUAACACUAACAUUUCAACAUGAAACAGGGUAGGUAUUACUCCCAGAUACUCUUAUGUGCUGUUGGAAACAACUAAAAAAAAAGAUAUGAUUGACAAAAAUUUAAGAAAAAGACUAUCCAAAUGCUUUUGAAUCUUUUCUUGGAGAGCCUUAAUUGCUGUUUGUCAUACAACAUGAAUCUAAUCAUACAUCUUGUUGAGUUAACUGUUACUUCCCUAAGAUAUUGUGUUAUAAUAGGAAUUUUUAGAAUUGAGAUAUUACCCUAAGAUUAUCUGGAUUAUAGUUUCUUAGAAACUCCAACUGCCUCUGAAUUACUAGUGAAAAAUAACUAAUCAUGAACUUAAAACUGCUUUUUUGAUACUUGCAUGGAUAUGCAUUCUCUUGAGGCUUGUGACUCACUGAUGAUGCAGUCCACACAAACCUAAAAAAAAACCCAACAAACAAAAUCCAGCAAUGACAUCAUCAGCUGCAACUGUGGGCUAUCCCUUCGAAAAGAACUGCAAUGUUAUUUACCUCUCAAACCCACCUGGCAUUCCUAAAUAAAUGAACGUUAAAGUGAAAAUAUAUAAAUGGUAUAUUAAAAAAAAAGUACUUAGAGAUAUUCUUUCAGGAGAAGCUAUGCAAUUUUCUGUCGCUUUAAUAGCUUUUGGCUGUGAAAGACUAAGACUAACUGUGACAACCACAUUUUUAACUCUCAGGGCUUUUACAUAUUCACAAGAUUGCAAUAUGAUCAGUCAAUGCAGUUGCCGGAAAUAUUCUAAAAUUAGUUUGGCUCCGAAAUAACAAUUCACCAAACAGAAGACAGAUUUACAGCAGCACCUGACACGGAGAGGUAAUUACUACAAUGCAGAGAACAACAGGUUUCAGCAAGCUACUGUCCUUGUUACAAUCCAUUAACAUUUGAGAAUAUUUUUGCACGAGGCUUGCGAUUUGGCCAUUUUUCAAGGCAUAUCUGACAUUAAGGAUACCGUUCCCUCACAGGUGUACAAGCUAUUUUAAAUGUGUGGCAAUUACACCUGUUCAUUGUUGGUAUUUAUGGUCCCGAUAGCUCCGAAAAGAGCUCUUCAGCCGCAAUGAAUAAACCAAGCCAAAACGCCUUUCACAAAUGAAAGACAUUUAUUUAUUAGACAGCACUGGAAUAUCAACUACAGUUUGUCUCCCACUGACUGGCUGUAACUUCUAAGUUCCAUUCGGUGUGACAUCUUCGGCUACUUACGAACGCUCCUCUGCCAGAGCAUCGAAUGUGUAGAUACCACGUAACGCAUCGUUUACGAAUCCAUACGGCUGCUCGUACGCCGAUCUCGGACGUAAAUCAGCGUCACGAGUUUUGCUGCUAAGCGCUGGAAAUGGGUAAAUAUGACCCCAAAGCUGCCCUUCCCGGGAAGAGGGGGGAGUAUGUCGAAAGGCGGG